AGUGAACGCUGGCGGUAGGCCUAACACAUGCAAGUCGAACGGCAGCACAGUAAGAGCUUGCUCUUACGGGUGGCGAGUGGCGGACGGGUGAGGAAUACAUCGGAAUCUACUUUUUCGUGGGGGAUAACGUAGGGAAACUUACGCUAAUACCGCAUAUGACCUACGGGUGAAAGCAGGGGAUCUUCGGACCUUGUGCGAUAGAAUGAGCCGAUUUCGGAUUAGCUAGAUGGCGGGGUAAAGGCCCACCAAGGCGGAGAUCCGUAGCUGGUCUGAGCGGAAGAUCCGGCACACUGGAACUGAGACACGGUCCAGACUCCUACGGGAAGCAGCAGUGGGGAAUAUUGGACAAAGGGGGCAAGCCUGAUCCAGCCAUACCGCGUGGGUGAAGAAGGACUUCGGGUUCUAAAGCCCUUUUGUUGGGAAAGAAGAGCAGCAGUUUAAUACCCCGCUGUUCUGACGGUACCCAAAGAAUAAGCACCGGCUAACUUCGUG
rnacentral:rRNA from 1 species